UUUUCUGAAGUUAUUGAUGUUUGUUUAUUUCAAAAUAAGUAUUGUUAAAACAUCUAUUUUCUACUUCAUUCCAUACUCAAAUAAUUAUAAAUGUCAUUUUUGUAUAAUUGAGCAUAAAGAAUGACUCGCAAUAGAUUUGGCAUUAAAAUGAAAAGAUGCAGAUCAAUUUAUUUGUGACAAGCUUCAAACACUAUGUGUUGUAGGUAGAGCCUGGGGAUCCACCAAGUCAUUCUUUUGUCGUCAAAAACUUGAAGAAAACUUGGUGUAUGUUUAAAUUGCUGGUGAUGGAAUUGAGUGGUUUCGACAAAGGCUAAAGUAUAUAAUUGGGGUAAUAUUGCUGUUGUUUAUGCAAAUACUUUAGAAUUUGUAGGAAUAGAUCAACGUGUGCUAUUGGGUUAAAAUUUAGGGAUAUUACAGUAAAGAGUAAAUGCAGACAUGUAAAAGAAAACCUGGAUGAACCUAUGUGCCAAAAGGCUUAUAUCUGCCCUGACUACAGUAUGAAAUAUUACAAAAAGAGUUAAUAAAUUGAACUCUGAAAGUUUAGGUGAUCUAGGCUUUGAUUUGCAUCAUGGCCUUUCAAUGAAAAUUGGAAAUUCUGAACAUUUAAUUAACACCGUGUACAUUGCUGUACCUUUUUUAUCCUAUCAUUCCACAGCAAACUGUAUUGUGAGCAAGAAAAAACAUCUUAUGAUAACUGUUUCACCUCUUUUACCAUACUAGACUAAAGCUAGAGCAGUGUAAAAACAAUAUGGCAAAUAUGGCAUUAAAUCCUACAUCAUUUAUUUUUCACACGACUCUAUGGGAACUGGAAGAACAAACUUUGAUUGGAAUUAGGUUGCAGUGGAAUGGCGAGACGAAAUGUUCAGGGAAAUUAUUGUGUCAUUUGAAGUGAGUGACUUAUUGACAAUUCCUUGAAAACAAUCCCAAACGUAUGGAAAAUUUGUGAUUUAGCCUCCAGUGAUACAUAUUAAAAGAUGAUAUAUAAACGUUA